rnacentral:rRNA from 1 species
UGGGCGUUCGGUGGAUGCCUGGGUACCAAGAGCUGAUGAAGGACGUUGUGGCCGGCGAUAGCCUCGGGGAGUUGGCGAGCGAGUGUUGAUCCGAGGGUGUCCGAAUGGGGGAACCUAGCUGGGGUUGUGCCUGGUUACCAUCACUUGAAGACUGUGUGUAUAGGGUGGUGGGGGGAACGCGGGGAAAUGAAACAUCUGAGUACCCGUAGGAGAAGAUAUUCUGUGAGUAGUGGCGAGCGAAAGCGGAGGAGGCUAAACCAUGCGCGUGGAGAAGUCGGCGGGCGUUGCGUGUGUGGGGUUGUGGGAGCUGCCUGUUUUACUUUCUGCCGGGGGUAAGCAUUGUGGUGUGUGUGGAGGUGAACCGUGUGGGAGAGCGGACCGAAGAGCGUGAGAGUCGUGUAGCUGGACAUGCAUGUUGUGGUGUUGGUGGUGUUCCCAAGUAGUGCGGGGCUCGUGGAAUCUCGUGUGAAUCUGCCAGGACCACCUGGUAAGCCUAAAUACUUCUUGGUGACCGAUAGUGGAGAGUACCGUGAGGGAAUGGUGAAAAGUACCCCGGGAGGGGAGUGAAAGAGUACCUGAAACCGGACGCUUGUAAGCCGUCGGAGCCUUGCGGGGUGACGGCGUGCCUUUUGAAGAAUGAGCCUGCGAGUCAGUGGCAUGUGGCGUGCUUAACCCGUGUGGGGGAGGCGUAGCGAAAGCGAGUCUGAAAAUUUUUGAGGGCGUGUGUCGCGUGUUCUGGACCCGAAGCGGGGUGAUCUACCCAUGGCCAGGUUGAAGCAAGGGUAAGACUUUGUGGAGGACCGAACCCACCAGGGUUGAAAACCUGGGGGAUGAGUUGUGGGUAGGGGUGAAAGGCCAAUCAAACUCCGUGAUAGCUGGUUCUCCCCGAAAUGCAUUUAGGUGCAGCGUUGUGUGGUUCCUGCCGGAGGUAGAGCGACUGGUUGGUUGAUGGGCCUUGUGGGUUACUGACGUCAGCUAAACUCCGAAUGCUGGUAGGGUGAGCAUGGCAGUGAGACAGCGGGGGAUAAGCUUCGUUGUCGAGAGGGAAACAGCCCAGAUCAUCAGCUAAGGCCCCUAAGCGUAUGCUCAGUGGGAAAGGAUGUGUAAUCGCGUUGACAACCAGGAGGUUGGCUUAGAAGCAGCCAUCCUUGAAAGAGUGCGUAAUAGCUCACUGGUCAAGUGGUUGUGCGCCGAUAAUGUAGCGGGGCUGAAGUAUACCGCCGAAGCUGUGGCACUCACACGUGAUGGCUUGUCUCCAUGUAGUGGAGGUGGGUGUGUGGGUGGGUAGGGGAGCGUCCUGCAUGUGGUGAAGCCUGCUGGUGAUGGUGGGUGGAGUGUGUGGGAGUGAGAAUGCAGGCAUGAGUAGCGAAUUCUGGGGUGGGAAUCCCCAGCGCCGAUUGACUAAGGGUUCCAGGGCGAGGUUUAUCCGCCCUGGGUUAGUCGGGUCCUAAGGCGAGGCCGACAGGCGUAGUCGAUGGAUAACCAGUUGAUAUUCUGGUACCGCCUAUACACCGACAAAUACUGAAACUUGUGAUGCGUGCUGCCGCGUUGUGCUCGGGCCCUUCUUUAAUUGGAGGGGUGUUGGGUGCGGGGUUGUGGUGUGUUGAUGAGCGGUAGGUAAGCGUGUUAACAGGGGUGACGCAGGAAGGUAGCUGCCGCGCACUGGUGGUUGUGUGUCUAAGGUUGUGGCCUGUUUCCUAGGGAAAUCCGGGAGGCGUGAAGGGUGAGGACUGAUGGGGGUGCCCCCGUGUGGGGUGUCUGGUGGUGAUCCUAUGCUGCCGAGAAAAGCCUCGACGUUAGGGGUGUAGGCGCCCGUACCCGAAACCGACUCAGGUGGUCAGGUAGAGUAUACCGAGGCGUUCGAGUGAAUCAUGGUUAAGGAACUCGGCAAAAUUCCUCCGUAACUUCGGGAUAAGGAGGGCCCCCGACCAUUACCUGCCCGUGCGGUGUGGUAGGGGUGGGGGGUCGCAGAGAAGAGGGAGAAGCGACUGUUUACUAAAAACACAGGUGCGUGCGAAGUUGUAAAACGAUGUAUACGCACUGACGCCUGCCCGGUGCUGGAAGGUUAAGAGGACGGCUGAACCCCCCUUGGGGGUGAGGGUCUGAAUUGAAGCCCCAGUAAACGGCGGUGGUAACUAUAACCAUCCUAAGGUAGCGAAAUUCCUUGUCGGGUAAGUUCCGACCUGCACGAAUGGCGUAACGACUUCUCCACUGUCUCAACCGCGAACUCGGUGAAAUUGCAUUACGAGUAAAGAUGCUCGUUACGCGCAGAAGGACGGAAAGACCCCGGGACCUUUACUAUAGCUUGGUAUUGGUGUUCGGUACGAUUUGUGUAGGAUAGGUGGGAGACUUUGAAGCAUUAACGCCAGUUAGUGUGGAGUCAUUGUUGAAAUACCACUCUGAUCGUGCUGGACAUCUAACCUUGGACCAUGAUCUGGUUUGGGGACAGUGCCUGGUGGGUAGUUUAACUGGGGCGGUUGCCUCCUAAAAUGUAACGGAGGCGCUCAAAGGUUCCCUCAGCCUGGUUGGCAAUCAGGUGGCGAGUGUAAGUGCACAAGGGAGCUUGACUGUGAGACUGACAGGUCGAGCAGGGACGAAAGUCGGAACUAGUGAUCCGGCCAUUGCUUGUGGAAGCGUGGUCGCUCAACGGAUAAAAGGUACCCCGGGGAUAACAGGCUGAUCCUGCCCAAGAGUUCAUAUCGACGGCAUGGUUUGGCACCUCGAUGUCGGCUCGUCGCAUCCUGGGGCUGGAGUAGGUCCCAAGGGUUGGGCUGUUCGCCCAUUAAAGCGGCACGCGAGCUGGGUUCAGAACGUCGUGAGACAGUUCGGUCCCUAUCCUCUGCGCGCGUAAGAAACUUGAGAAGGGCUGUCCCUAGUACGAGAGGACCGGGACGGACGAACCUCUGGUGUGCCAGUUGUUCCGCCAGGAGCAUGGCUGGUUUGCUACGUUCGGGAAGGAUAACCGCUGAAAGCAUCUAAGUGGGAAGCCUGCUUCAAGAUAAGGUUUCUAUAGUCCUUGUGACUGGGAGGCCCCCUAUAGACCAUGGGGUUGAUAGGCCAGAAGUGGAAGCACGGUAACGUGUGUAGCUGACUGGUACUAAUUGGCCGACCAUUUACA